UACGAAGGGGGCUAGCGUUGCUCGGAAUCACUGGGCGUAAAGCGCACGUAGGCGGACUCUUAAGUCGGUGGUGAAAUCCUGGAGCUCAACUCCAGAACUGCCUUCGACACUGAGAGUCUCGAGUCCGGGAGAGGUGAGUGGAACUGCGAGUGUAGAGGUGAAAUUCGUAGAUAUUCGCAAGAACACCAGUGGCGAAGGCGGCUCACUGGCCCGGUACUGACGCUGAGGUGCGAAAGCGUGGGGAGCAAACAGG
rnacentral:rRNA from 1 species